rnacentral:rRNA from 1 species
GGAAGUAAAAGUCGUAACAAGGUCUCCGUUGGUGAACCAGCGGAGGGAUCAUUACCGAGUUUACAACUCCCAAACCCCUGUGAACAUACCUAUACGUUGCCUCGGCGGAUCAGCCCGCGCCCCGUAAAAAGGGACGGCCCGCCCGAGGACCCCUAAACUCUGUUUUUAGUGGAACUUCUGAGUAAAACAAACAAAUAAAUCAAAACUUUCAACAACGGAUCUCUUGGUUCUGGCAUCGAUGAAGAACGCAGCAAAAUGCGAUAAGUAAUGUGAAUUGCAGAAUUCAGUGAAUCAUCGAAUCUUUGAACGCACAUUGCGCCCGCCAGUAUUCUGGCGGGCAUGCCUGUUCGAGCGUCAUUUCAACCCUCAAGCUCAGCUUGGUGUUGGGGCUCGCGGUAACCCGCGUUCCCCAAAUCGAUUGGCGGUCACGUCGAGCUUCCAUAGCGUAGUAAUCAUACACCUCGUUACUGGUAAUCGUCGCGGCCACGCCGUAAAACCCCAACUUCUGAAUGUUGACCUCGGAUCAGGUAGGAAUACCCGCUGAACUUAAGCAUAUCAAUAAGCGGAGGA